AUACUUACCUGGAUGGGGUCAAUGGGUGAUCAAGAAGGCCUAUGGCCUAGGUUGGUGACUUCCACUGCACUUAGGAGGGGUGCCUGCCUAACGUCUCCUCAGGUAGGAGAGCCUACAUCAUAAUUUGUUGUAGUGGGGACCUGCGUUCGCGCAGUCCCUG